ACGGGAGGCAGCAGUGGGGAAUAUUGCACAAUGGGGGAAACCCUGAUGCAGCGACGCCGCGUGAGUGAAGAAGUAUUUCGGUAUGUAAAGCUCUAUCAGCAGGGAAGAAAGUGACGGUACCUGACUAAGAAGCCCCGGCUAACUACGUGCCAGCAGCCGCGGUAAUACGUAGGGGGCAAGCGUUAUCCGGAUUUACUGGGUGUAAAGGGAGCGUAGACGGCUUAGCAAGUCUGAAGUGAAAGCCCGGGGCUCAACCCCGGAACGGCUUUGGAAACUGUUAAGCUAGAGUACCGGAGAGGUAAGCGGAAUUCCUAGUGUAGCGGUGAAAUGCGUAGAUAUUAGGAGGAACACCAGUGGCGAAGGCGGCUUACUGGACGGUAACUGACGUUGAGGCUCGAAAGCGUGGGGAGCAAACAGGAUUAGAUACCCUGGUA
rnacentral:rRNA from 1 species